rnacentral:misc_RNA from 1 species
UCGCUUCGUUUCGGUUCGGUUUGUCUUUUGGGGUUCUUCUCGCCUUCGAAAGCGCCGUCCUUCUUCAGUGUUUUCACAUUUUCACGUACAGUUCAAUCGUGAGGUUCAGCCUAGUGAGUUCUGUGUAGUUAAGUCGGAAUAUUUCGUAUAGUUCUCGUCGACUGUCGUCUGACAUUUGUUCUUCUAUUCCGAAACGCUGCAUUGAAAUACAAAAAUAAUACAAACUAGAAUAUUCAACAAAACAAAAAACCAAGGAAACGAAAAACCAAUUAAAAUUUUAACAAAAUAAUAACUCGCUUCAAAAUAUAUUGCAAAUAUAUCAACAAAUUUAAUCAAAUCAAAUUCACCAACAAAUCGAAAACAAACUCUAUUAAUUCGUUUACUCAAAAAUCCAAAAACACAAAACAACCAAAAACCGAUUCAAAUAUAUAACUGUUAAAUCUAAACGAGCAGGCGAUCUACUGGGAAGCGAGAGAGGAAGGGCAUCAGCAGCAGCACUACUACACGCGUGUGUGUUUAAAUACUGGAAAAUACAGAUAAGAUAAAUUAUUAUAGACACUCACGAGUACAUUUAGAGCAGACCAAACCCAGAGACAGACAACCGCAGAGAAUCAAAAGCACUCCAAGAGCAAAUCAAUAAAACAAAAACAAAACCCAAACAACAACAAAAAAAACAACAACAGAAACAACAGAAACAAAGAGAAAAAGCAACUCAAAAAACAAAAUUUUAAAAAAAGUGUUACCAAAAAAAACUUAAAAAAAAAAGAAAAUUAUUUAAAAGACAAAACCCGUACUCGUAACGGUGCAGACAACUGAAAAUACCCAGUGAAAAUUCAGAAAAGCGUUGACCAUUUUUUCUCGCAAAGGCGCCACGUCCAAGAGCAAAUCGUUCCAUAUGGUUCAUAUUAUUGAAUUGGUCGGCCAGCCGAAGGUUGAGUUUGCUCAACAAGUUACUAUGAACCGUGCUUUACAGCUGAAGCCAGCUGAAAAUGAAAGUCGCAGCGGUAAGUGCACAAGGCUUCAUCCUUACAACAGAACACGUGAUCCACGUGGCGGCUGCGCAUUCGUCAAAUUCGGAACGCAACAGGAGGCUCAGUCAGCAAUAGCCAAUCUACACGGAAGUCAAACUAUGCCGGGUGCAUCCUCCAGCCUGGUCGUCAAAUACGCCGACACAGAGAAGGAACGACAAAUCAGGCGCAUGCAACAAAUGGCCGGUCAUAUGAACCUGCUGAAUCCGUUUGUCUUUAAUCAGUUCAGCCCGUACGGCGCCUACGCUCAGCAACAGCAGCAAGCCGCUCUGAUGGCUGCCGCUGCCACCGCGCCUGGCUCGGCAGCCGCCUACAUGAACCCCAUGGCCGCCCUGGCAACGCAAAUACCUCAUGGCUUGAACGGCACCGGACAGCCGCCCUCUUUGCCCUCGCCGACCAUGCCCAACUUCAGCAUGGGCGCCAACACGCCCAACGGCCAGCCCGGUGGAGCUGCCGCGGCUGCAGCAGCUGCUGCGGCGGACGGGGUCUUCACGAACGGCAUUCCACAAACGGCAUUCCCAGGACAUCCGCUGCAUUUGACUAUACCACCACAAGGUCUGCCAAACGGCGAUGCUGCUACUCUGCAACAUGCCUUCCCUGGGCUGCCACCGUUUCCAGGAGUUGCCUUCCCCGCCGUCUAUGGACAGUUUCCACAAGCUUUACCACCUCCCCUAGCGGCGGUUGCACCCACUCAGCGUGAAGGAUGCUCGAUAUCCGGUCCAGAGGGCUGCAAUCUCUUCAUCUACCAUUUGCCCCAAGAGUUUGGCGAUGCGGAGUUAAUGCAAAUGUUCCUGCCCUUUGGCAAUGUGAUCAGCUCCAAGGUCUUCAUCGAUCGUGCUACAAACCAGAGCAAAUGCUUCGGUUUCGUGUCCUUCGAUAAUCCAGCCAGCGCUCAAGCGGCCAUUCAGGCCAUGAAUGGCUUCCAGAUUGGCAUGAAAAGACUGAAAGUUCAAUUGAAGCGGCCAAAGGAUGCCAGUCGACCCUAUUAACAAUCGGAGUUCCUUAAGUGUAAUUCGCAACAACUACAACUACUUCCUGGAGCACCAACAACAGGAGUAGUCGCAGGAGCAGCCAUGCCACAAACUACAACACAAUUUGCAACAGCAGCAGCAGCAGCAGCAACAGCAUCCACAGCAACAGCAACAGCCACAGCAACAACCACAGUGCACCACUAUAGUCACAGAAGCAGCUUUAGGCCACCAUUUCCCAAUGACAACUCCACUCAUAUGCCGGUAUCAAUUCGCCAGCUGGCGCGAAAUGGUGACCUACUGCUAUCGCUAUAUAGUACCCCGCCAGAAACACUUCCUCCCCAGCCCCAAAAAGCAACCAACAACAGCAACAUCAGCAAGGACAACAACAACAGCACCAACCAACAACAACAGCACCAACAAACACCCACCAGCAGCACCACACCAAACAACAAUAGCAAGCACUGCAGGCAGCAGAAUGGACCGAUUCCCAUCCACAUCCAACUCAACCGGACAUGGCAUCCAAUAGCAACCAGAAGGAACUAUCCAAAGUGGAAUAAGUCGAAAAACUGUUCAAGUGGCAGCAACAAAAGCGAAAGACCUAAAGCCACCAGGACCCCACAAACAGCAACCAUGACAACUGCGACAACAAUAACGAGCGACUACUGAAAGGAUGGUCUUCACCAUGCUAAGUGAAAUGAUUAUAAAAAUUAAACACAUGCAAAAUCGGUGUGUAAAAAAACCUAAAAUAAUAGUAAACAACCAAA